AUACGGAGGAUCCGAGCGUUAUCCGGAUUUAUUGGGUUUAAAGGGUGCGCAGGCGGGAGAUUAAGUCGGCGGUGAAAUUUUGCAGCUCAACUGUAAAAGUGCCUUCGAAACUGGUUUCCUUGAGUGUAGAUGAAGUAGGCGGAAUUUGUGGUGUAGCGGUGAAAUGCAUAGAUAUCACGAGGAACUCCGAUUGCGCAGGCAGCUUACUAAACUACUACUGACGCUCAGGCACGAAGGCGUGGGGAUCAAACAGGAUUAGAUACCCCGGUAGUCCACGCAGUAAACGAUGAUUACUAGCUGUUUGCGAUACAAUGUAAGCGGCUGAGCGAAAGCGUUAAGUAAUCCACCUGGGGAGUACGUUCGCAAGAAUGAAACUCAAAUGAAUUGACGGGG
rnacentral:rRNA from 1 species